rnacentral:piRNA from 1 species
UGCAAGAGGAUUUUUAUUCAAGAGCGCUC